rnacentral:rRNA from 1 species
CACGCUGGCGGCGUGCCUACACAUGCAAUNCNAACGAGAAAGUGGAGCAAUCCAUNNGUAAAGUGGCGACCGGGUGAGUAACACGUGACUAACCUACCUUCGAGUGGGGGAUAACCUCGGGAAACCGGGGCUAAUACCGCAUAACAUCUUUGGAGUGGAAAUUCUGGAGAUCAAAGGAGCAAUUCGCUGGAAGAGGGGGUCGCGGCUGAUUAGCUAGUUGGCGGGGUAACGGCCCACCAAGGCAAAGAUCGGUAUCCGGCCUGAGAGGGCGCACGGACACACUGGAACUGAAACACGGUCCAGACUCCUACGGGAGGCAGCAGUGGGGAAUUUUGCGCAAUGGGGGAAACCCUGACGCAGCAACGCCGCGUGGAGGAUGAAGUCCCUUGGGACGUAAACUCCUUUCGACCCGGACGAUAAUGACGGUACGGGUGGAAGAAGCCCCGGCUAACUUCGUGCCAGCAGCCGCGGUAAUACGAGGGGGGCAAGCGUUGUUCGGAAUUAUUGGGCGUAAAGGGCGCGUAGGCGGUGCGGUAAGUCACCUGUGAAACCUCUAGGCUCAACCUAGAGCCUGCAGGCGAAACUGCCGUGCUUGAGGGUGGGAGAGGUGCGUGGAAUUCCCGGUGUAGCGGUGAAAUGCGUAGAUAUCG